UCCCUCAGGAUAGCUGGAGCU
rnacentral:snRNA from 1 species